rnacentral:rRNA from 1 species
UACGGAGGGUGCAAACGUUGCUCGGAAUUACUGGGCGUAAAGCGUGCGCAGGCGGUUCGUUGUGUCCGUCGUGAAAGCCCCGGGCUUAACCUGGGAACUGCGAUGGAAACUAGCGAGCUGGAGUGUGGCAGAGGGGGGUGGAAUUCCGCGUGUAGCAGUGAAAUGCGUAGAGAUGCGGAGGAACACCGAUGGCGAAGGCAGCCCCCUGGGCUAACACUGACGCUCAGGCACGAAAGCGUGGGGAGCAAACAGG